UGAAUUUGCAGAACUGUUCUUUUUGUCUACAGGAGCAAUGAGAAAGAAAUUUAAGGAGAGAACUCAGAGUAGUGAAAACAAGCAGCUGGAGAAUGGAGCCUGCUCCCAUUGUCUGAGUAUUCUGUGGGGCAAGUGGGCACCAUGGAAAGUGCCAGGCUUGAACCACCAUGAUGGGAUCUUGCCCCACACUGUGUCUUGCUAAGAGAAGAGACCCCAGCAACAAAAGUCCAUAGGGUGGGUUAUACUGGAAUGGGAAUGGGAAGCCUGGAAGAGGUCCACUGGAGCUGAUUUCCUGUGAGACAUGGCCAUACAGUGAAGAGGCUGCCAAAGGGUUUUGCAAAAAAUCAUCAGGUGCAUCCCAGGAGACACAGCAUUUGGAUGGUUGUCUGGUAGAGGGCAGAGGUCACAAUGGAUCUGAUGAGCUUCUCAGCCCAGAAUAGAAUCUACCUACAUCUCACACUGUUUCCUCUUGCUGAAAUGGAGGAUUGGUUCCUCUCCAGAACUGGGAACAGCCCUUCCAUGCAACUGUAUCUGGAUCUCCUCCUUUCCAGGUGUAAUGGACUACACUUGGCUUGUGGUUUGCUACCAUCCUUUCCUUUGCAGAAAUAUCUGUACACUAUUUCCUAAUUAUCCUAAGAAGUUUAUAUGACUUGAAUGGGACCAACUGCUUGUGAUUUGCUACCAUUCCUGUAGCCCCACCGGAAGUCACACCACCCAGCUGUGCAUGAUCAGAAGGUUCCAUGCCAACCACAACAGAAGAGAUUUAAAUAUGCCAUUCUGGCAUAAGGAUUAUUUUGAGUUUCAAGACAUUUAUGACUCAACUGACAAAGAAAGAAGCCUUCCCAAAGUGUUCCUUAUCUGACUAAAAGCAGAAACUUUUGAAAAAUGAAGACUACCAUAAAUCCCCUCUGCCAUGGAAAUUCCCUGGGAGAAAGUUGCUGAGAUGACCCUGCACACACAACUUUACUCUGUUAGUUUUCCCCAUUUAUUUUCCUUGCCAGUCUGCUGCUUUAGGAAGACUAAAACCUUCUCCUUUGUCUUAUCACUUCCCUAAAAAUUUAUUGUUCUUUUCAAAGGUGCCACAUAAGAACAAGUUCUAAGCACUUCUUUGACAUGUAGAUCACUUGUAUAGCAUGGUUUAAUAAACUCUGUUUUUAAAUUUU